rnacentral:rRNA from 1 species
GGGAUAGAAUUCCAGGAGUAGCGGUGAAAUGCGUAGAUAUCUGGAGGAAUACCAAAGGCGAAGGCAGUCCCCUGGUCCGAUACUGACACUGAGGUACGAAAGCGUGGGGAGCAAACAGGAUUAGAUACCCUGGUAGUCCACGCCCUAAACGAUGUCGAUUAGCCAUUGGAAGGACCCCUUUUCCUUUCAGUGACGUAGCUAACGCGUUAAAUCGACCGCCUGGGAAGUACGACCGCAAGGUUAAAACUCAAAGGAAUUGACGGGGACCUGAACAAGCGGUGAAUGAUGUGGAUUAAUUCGAUGCUACGCGAAGAACCUUACCUACCUUUGACAUGGCCAAAGUUCUACCGAGAGGCGGAAGUACUCGUAAGAGGAUUGGCGCACAGGUGCUGCAUGGUUGUCGUCAGUUCGUGUCGUGAGAUGUUGGGUUCAGUCCCGCAACGAACGCAACCCUUAUCUUUAAUUGCUCCUAUUUUAACAGGCACUUUAAAGAAACUGCCAAUGAUAAGUUGGAGGAAGGUGGGGAUCACGUCAAGUCCGCAUGGCCUUUAUAGGUAGGGCUUCACACGUCAUACAAUGGUUAGAACAAAGAGCUGCAAAUUCGUAAGAAGGAGCCAAUCUCACAAACCUAGCCUCAGUUCGAAUUGCGGUCUGCAACUCGAGCGCAUGAAGCCGGAAUCGCUAGUAAUCGUGGAUCAGAAUGCCACGGUGAAUACGUUCUUAGGUCUU